rnacentral:lncRNA from 1 species
AUAGCAAGAGGUAAGAAAGGAACAGUCUGAGGUUUGAGUCUGACCCAGGACCUCUUUGUGGUCAAAAAGUGAGGGGGCAGGAAACAGGAUGGAAGGCUCGAGAGUGGCAAAAGCUUUUCAGCCCAGCCAAGAGUGCUCCAGGCAAGCGCUGGGGCACCUCUCUGGGAGAGGACCUUCACCAAGGUCAGAGAUGAACAGCAGUGUUGGGGACCUGGGUGUUGGCGGCUGCAACCUCUGGGAUGACCCUGCUCGCUUCAUCGUGGUGCCCGCGGCCUAUGCCUUGGCACUGGGCCUGGGGCUGCCAGCCAACGUGGCGGCCCUGGCAAUGUUCAUCCGCAGCGGCGGGCGCCUGGGCCAGGCCCUGCUUCUCUACCUGUUCAACCUGGCUCUGGUUGAUGAGCUCUUCACGCUCACGCUGCAGCUGUGGCUCACCUACUACCUGGGCCUGGCCCGGAGGCCGCCUGCCACGCGGCCGGGGCUACCUACUACGUGUCCACCUAUGCGGCGGUGGUCUUCGCCGCGCUUAUCAGCGUGUGCCGCUGCGGCUUCGUACGCGGCCCCGGGCCCAGGGCGGCUGCCCGCCUGGCCCUCUGCCGCCGGCGCCCCGCACGCGCUGCCUGCGCGUUCGCCUGGCUGGCGGGCCUGGCCCCUCCCUGCCUGGAGCACCGCUGGGCAAGCUCGGGGCUGGCCUCCGCCACGGUGGCCUUCUUCGCGGCCGCCUUCCUGCUGGUGCUCGCGGCCUACGUGAGCCUGGCGCGGGCCCUCAAGGCACCCUCAGGCUCGGGCCCGGGCCCUGCUACCGCCGGCGCGCGGCCAAGACCAUGGUCCUGGGGUUCCUGCUGGUCUUCGCCCUCAGUCUGGCGCCCUACCACCUGCUGCUGGCGCCCUGGGUGGCCGGGCGGGACGACAAGGGAGACCGGUGUCGCGCCGCCUCCACGCUCGACAUCCUGCAUACCCUCAGCCUGGCGCUGCUGAGCCUCAACAGCUGCCUGGACCCACUCAUCUGCUGCUGCUUCGUGCGCCGCUUCCACCAGGACUGUUGCUGGGCACUGAGCUGCCGCCCGGUGAAGGGGGCGCCCAGGGCGCAUGGGGCCUCCUUGGCCUCCUCCUGGAGAGUCUCCUGGCCUCCCCUCCUGUCUCACCCCCCUGUCACCCUCCCAGUGGCAUCCAGGGUGGAGAAAGCUCUUUGGAAAGACCUAGAUUCUAAUCCUGACGCAACCACAUGCUACCCCUGUAGCUGUGAACCUCUGGGCUCAUCUGUACCAAGGACAUAGAACAUUCUUUGUAACCGGAAUGUUCCCUGGAUGUUGCCAGCUUUUGGAUACAAAUUAUAUACCACUGUGUUUUUUUAAACCUCUUGGGAUAAAACCCAAAGUCCUUAUCAUGACCUACAAGGCCCUGUCUGAUUUGGCUCCCCUUUCUCUCCAGACCUUAUCCCACCACCCCUGCGUCACCCUGCAGGCAGUCACCUUCUUAGGCCCGGGAAAAUGCCAAUCUCCUACCCUUCACGGCCUUUGUAUCUGACUUGGCCAGGAAUGAUCUCUGUUCCUCUCUUUCACUAAGUUAGUUCUUCUUCACCCUCACUUCCUCUAAAGUAACUCCUUAUAGGGAAGCAUUUCUUGGCUGGCAGCACACACACACACAUACACACACGACUGAAUCAGAUCGGAUUGCUCUUUGAUAGCUCUUUUCAUAAUUGUAAUCAAGAAUUAAUUGAGUAAUGCGUUGUUGUUGUUUUCUUUCUCUCUUGCCAGAAUGUAUUCAUGUUGACCCAUAAGAAAUGAUCAUUUUUAUAAGUCCCCAAAAGUUGAAUAUUGGAAAUUUUAUUUCCACCCAAUUCAACUUAAUAAAUUCCGUGUUUACCUUGCUCA